GACGAACGCUGGCGGCGCGCUUAACACAUGCAAGUCGAACGGAAAGGCCUGCUUUCCCUUGUGGAUUGCGGGUACUCGAGUGGCGAACGGGUGAGUAACACGUGAGUGAUCUGCCCCCAACUUGGGUAUAAGCCUGGGAAACUGGGUCUAAUUCCCGAUAGGACUGCAGGGUGGUGCCUGUGGUGGAAAACGAUUUUCUAGUGGUUGGGGAUGAGCUCGCGGCCUAUCAGCUUGUUGGUGGGGUAAUGGCCUACCAAGGCGGCGACGGGUAGCCGGCCUGGGAGGGUGGACGGCCACAUUGGGACUGAGAUACGGCCCAGACUCCUACGGGAGGCAGCAGUGGGGAAUAUUGCACAAUGGGCGGAAGCCUGAUGCAGCGACGCCGCGUGGGGGAUGACGGCCUUCGGGUUGUAAACUCCUUUCGACCGCGAGGAAGCCACCUGGUUGGAAGGGUGGUGACGGUAGUGGUAGAAGAAGCACCGACUAACUACGUG
rnacentral:rRNA from 1 species